rnacentral:rRNA from 1 species
AAGACCCACCACAGAAGGUAAUAGUCCUGUAUGUUAAACGAGAAGACUUCAGAUAUGAUCCAGAGUACCACGGGACACGUGAAACCCUGUGGGAAGCAGGAGGGACCACCCUCCAAGGCUAAAUACUACCUAGUGACCGAUAGCGUAUAGUACCGUGAGGGAAAGGUGAAAAGAACCCCGGGAGGGGAGUGAAAUAGAACCUGAAACCCUGCACUUACAAGCUGUGGAAGCACAUUUCUUGUGUGACCGCGUACUUUUUGUAGAACGGGCCAACGAGUUACGUUAAGUAGCAAGGUUAAGCACUUAAGGUGCGGAGCCGUAGCGAAAGCGAGUUUUAACUGAGCGUUCAGUUACUUGACGUAGACCCGAAACCGGGCGACCUACCCAUGAGCAGGAUGAAGCGAAAGUAAAAUUUCGUGGAGGUCCGAACCCACGAGCGUUGAAAAGCUCGGGGAUGACUUGUGGGUAGCGGUGAAAUUCCAAUCGAGCCCGGAGAUAGCUGGUUCUCCCCGAAAUAGCUUUAGGGCUAGCCUCAAGGUGAGAGAUACGGAGGUAGAGCACUGAAUGUCCUAGGGGGUAUUGCACCUACCGAAGACUAUCAAACUCCGAAUGCCGUCAUCUUAUACUUGGGAGUCAGACUGUGGGUGAUAAGAUUCAUAGUCGAAAGGGCAACAGCCCAGAUCGUCAGCUAAGGUCCCUAAAUGUAAGUUAAGUGGUAAAGGAUGUGGGAUUGCACAGACAACCAGGAUGUUGGCUUAGAAGCAGCCACUCAUUCAAAGAGUGCGUAAUAGCUCACUGGUCGAGUGAUCCUGCGCCGAAGAUUUCCGGGGCUAAAACUUACUACCGAAGCUACGGCAUCAGUAAUGAUGGGUAGGGGAGCUUCCCAUACGGGUUGAAGCAUGACCGUAAGGACAUGUGGACAGUAUGGGAGUGAGAAUGUUGGCAUGAGUAGCGAGAUGUGGGUGAGAAUCCCACAGGCCGUAAACCCAAGGUUUCCAGGGGAAGGUUCGUCCGCCCUGGGUUAGUCGGGACCUAAGCUGAGGCCGAAAGGCGUAGGUGAUGGACAACAGGUUGAUAUUCCUGUACUACCGAUAACCAUUUGAGAGAAGGGAUGACACAGUAGGAUAAGCUAAGCACACUGUUGGUUAUGUGUGCCCAAGCAUUGAGGCAGUCAAAGUAGGCAAAUCCGCUUUGAUAAUGCUGGGAUGUGAUGGGGAGCGAAAUUUAGUAGCGAAGUAGCUGAUUUCACACUGUCAAGAAAAGUCUCUAUCGAGGUUAAAGGUACCCGUACCGCAAACCGACACAGGUGGGUGAGGAGAGUAUCCUAAGGCCAGCGAGAGAACUGUUGUUAAGGAACUCGGCAAAAUGACCCCGUAACUUAGGGAUAAGGGGUGCCACCAUCAGGUGGCCGCAGAGAAUAGGCCCAAGCGACUGUUUACCAAAAACAUAGGUUUCUGCUAAGUCGCAAGACGAUGUAUAGGAGCUGACGCCUGCCCGGUGCUGGAAGGUUAAGGGGAUCUGUUAGAGCAAUCGAAGCAGUGAACUUAAGCCCCAGUAAACGGCGGCCGUAACUAUAACGGUCCUAAGGUAGCGAAAUUCCUUGUCGGGUAAGUUCCGACCCGCACGAAAGGCGUAACGAUUUGGGCACUGUCUCAACAACAGACUCGGUGAAAUUGUAAUUCCGGUGAAGAUGCCGGAUACCUGCGACAGGACGGAAAGACCCCAUGGAGCUUUACUGUAGCUUGACAUUGGGUCUUGGUACUACAUGUACAGGAUAGGUGGGAGGCUUUGAAACCAGGACGCCAGUUUUGGCGGAGCCAUCCUUGGGAUACCACCCUUGUAGUACUGGGACUCUAACCAUAGGCCAUGAAUC